rnacentral:rRNA from 1 species
AACGAACGCUGGCGGCAUGCCUAACACAUGCAAGUCGAACGAGACCUUCGGGUCUAGUGGCGCACGGGUGCGUAACGCGUGAGAACCUGCCCUUAGGUUCGGAAUAACUCCCCGAAAGGGGUGCUAAUACCGGAUAAUGUCUUCGGACCAAAGAUUUAUCGCCUUUGGAUGGGCCCGCGUUGGAUUAGCUAGUUGGUAGGGUAAAAGCCUACCAAGGCGACGAUCCAUAGCUGGUCUGAGAGGAUGAUCAGCCACACUGGGACUGAGACACGGCCCAGACUCCUACGGGAGGCAGCAGUGGGGAAUAUUGGACAAUGGGCGAAAGCCUGAUCAAGCAAUGCCGCGUGAGUGAUGAAGGCCUUAGGGUUGUAAAGCUCUUUUACCCGGGAUGAUAAUGACAGUAACGGGAGAAUAAGCUCCGGCUAACUCCGUG